AACAGCUGUACAGCAAGGGACCACUUCAUCAGUCUGGUAUUAUCUAGGUUAGCCAUUUGCAGCCAGUGUAGAGAGGUAUGGUCAGUGAUCAACAUGAACUCCCUCCCUAUGAGGUAAUAGCGAAAAAGCUCUACCCUCCACCAGAUGGCUAAACACUCUCACUCAAUUGUCGAGUAGUGGGUUUCUGCCAGGGUUAGCUUCUUGCUGGCAAAGGCUAUGGGCCUUUCGUUGCCCUCGUACUCCUAGAAGAGAAUUGUCCCUGUGGCGAUGCCUGAGGGAUCCGUCUGCAGAAAGAAUGUCUUCUGGAAAUUUGGGAUAUAUAACACUGGAUGUU